rnacentral:lncRNA from 1 species
GUCACGCCAGCUCCAACCAGGUCUAGAACCCAAACCUUCAACCCCUGAGCUUUCCUGCCUUCGAGUCCUCGGAGCUCUCCUGGAGGCUGAGCAGGCAACAGAGCCUGCUCCUCAGCUGGAUGUGGCCCGUGGGAGGUCUCUCAUCUGGGAAGUGGGAUGAUAGCGCCAACCUAGCUGGAUUGCUGUGACUGCCAGCACAAUGCCUUCUAAGGGUUCAAGAUGAGAUUACUUAGUCCCAGAUGGGUUAAGUAACUGGCCCAAGGUCACAGCGCUGGUAAGCAACUGGGCUUCAAUCCAACCAUCCUGACUCCAGAAGCCUCUUUGAACUACCACCUUCUGCACCUGCCCCAGGGCUUCUUCGCCUGAGCCGGUGCCUUGCUGCCGCCCUGCUCAUCUCUUCUGGGAAGAUGCCUCUCAUCUUGCCAGUCCUCAAGCCAGAAGCCUCCGGUGCUGCCCUAGGGCUCCCUGAAUAGGCAUCCCUAAGGCAUCCCUCCUGGUGUUCAAACCACAUCCUUCCUGGCUAAGCUUCCAUUCCCCAGGGUAGCCCUCCACACUUUGGAGCCUCAGCUCACCUCUCACUCUCACACUUCAGUUUCACACUUCCCUUCUGAAUGGUCCCACCUCUGUGCUUUUGCUUAAGCUGUGCACACUUCCCAGAGUGCUCUUUCCCCUAUGUCUGCCUGUGCUCCAAUACCCUAUGCCUGAGCUGACCCAUGACAUACAAGCACCUACAGAGGCCUGGGGGAAGGAGGCAGUGGUAUGUGUGUCAGUGUGGGGAGUCAGUGAAGAGGUUUGGGGCUUUAGGGUCAGUUAUGUGACUUCAGGGCAAGUCCCCAUCUCCCUGAACCCCAGUUUCUGCAAAAUGAAGAUAUCCAUCCCAGCUUCUCCCAAGGUUUAUAAUGGUAAUCUGUGAGGUUCUGGCACAUGAUGAAUCCAUAACUACCCGUUGUGACAAGUUCCCCACUUGUGAAGUCAAAUGAAGACCCCCUGGUGUUGACAGUGCAGGAAAACCUGUGCCCGAGCACCUUGUCCCUAGGGAGAACCCUACCUUCAGUGCCUCUCUGAACAACAGGGCCAGGAAGGGGUCACUGUAUAGCAGUUGGUCCCUAGUGACCAGUCCUGGCAGAGGGCCUUUAUCCCACUUCCAGUAGCCCAGCACCAACCAUCCCCAGCUCUGGGAGGGGGUGGGCAGCACCCUCCUUCCUCCACAUUGUUGCCACCUCAGAGAGUCAGAAUCCAGGGAGACAGUCUCCUGGCAGCGGAGCUCCUGCUGCCCGCCAUGGGUGUCUGUGAUGCUGCCGUGCCCACUGGGGGCUGCAGGCACUCCAGCAUCAGGAUGGACUAAAUCUCGGGAGUGGGAAGGGGACUCCAGCCAGGGGCACUGGAGACAGGGCCAGCCUGAGUGCCUGCUUCUCCCAGGGGCAGGUGCCAGCAUGGUGCACCCCUCAAGGAGUGUGGCAGGUAAGAUUGAGGUCCUGGCUGCCCCAGGCUCCUGUGCCAUCGAGAGGGAAAGCACCUGGAACAGGUAUACAGUAGAUGCUUAGUGAUGAGGAGAAUCUUCACUUGGUGGAAUUCUGAACACUUUGGGUACCACCAGAGUCAGAAUUCCCAGAGGAGGAGGCAGGCAUUUGAUAACGGAUGUCUGGAGGAUAUAGCAUGUUCAACCUUCCCCUCUCCAUGAGAGGAAGUGGUGACCUCAACCCCAGCACCCUCCUCUGCCCAUUCACACCCACCCACUCCCACCUCUCUGCCAGCCUCAGUUGGAUGUGGAGCAGAAUGUAAUGAGGACUUACCUGUCCACAAGGACUUCACAACUGUUCCAAGGCGAUGGAUGGGCAGGUGCUAACGCAGCCCCUCAGUGUCCCCCUUCCCUUGCUUUUGGGGUGGGCUUGGGGCCCCCGGGGGGUCCUAACUCACUGAAGAUACCAGGGCCCAGCUUCUGAGUAUUCCUAGAGGCCAUUUCUACCCCUAGAAACUUUACAUGGAGCCAAAAGCCCAUUUGAAGCUCAGUCUGGGCCAGGAGAGGCUAAUCAUAAAAGGGAUAUUUUUUAAGUGUACAGAAAUAAGAAUUUAUUUUUGAAGACAUGAUUUAUAUUUUGAAUGGCUAAUGCACUCACAUGAUUCAAAAUUCAAAAUUCCAAAAGAACCGACAGUGCAAAGUCGCUCCUCCUUUGGUCCCCACCACCCAGUUUCCCUCUGCAGAGGGAACCUUGUUGCCAGUUCUUGUGUAUUCUUCCAGAGAUCUUCUAUGUAUAAACCGUCAUCCUCCUAGGAAUUCUCAUUUGUUAUCCUUUUAAAAUGCACACACAUCCUGCUCUGUACCUGGCUUUCUUCCCUUAAAAACACAUCUUGAUUAUUGUUCUAUGUCACUUGCAAAACAGGUUCCUCAUUCUUAUUUUGUGGCUGCAGAUGACUUCAUUGUAUGGAAGGACUGCACAUUAUUUAACUGAUCCCUUAUUUUUUGUUUUUUGUUUUUUGAAAUAGAGUCUCGCUCUGUCACCCAGGCUGGAGUGCAAUGGCACAAUCUCAGCUCACUGCAACCUCUGCCUCCCGGGUUCAAGUGAUUCUCCUGCCUCAGACUCCUGAGUAGCUGGGAUUACAGGCACGCACCACCACGCCCAGCUAAUUUUUGUAUUUUUCAUAGAGACGGGGUUUCACCAUGCUGGCCAGGCUGGUCUUGAACUCCUGACCUCAUGGUCCACCCACCUUGGCCUCUCAUAGUGCUGGGAUUACAGGCCUGAGCCACCGUGCCCGGCUGAUCCCUUAUUGAUGCACAUUUAGCUUGUUUCCGUGUUUGGUAAUUACAUGAAAUGUUGCAAUAAAUAACUUUGUACACAUCCCACUUCAAAUGUGUGCUAGCAGACCUGUGGGAAAUUCCCAGGAGUGGAACCGCCGGGUUAGACGUGGCUAUGCACAGUUGCGAAGGAAAGGAGAGGUCGGAUGGCCCUCCUUGGAGAUUACACCAGGCUACACUUCCAC